GACGAACGCUGGCGGCGUGCCUAAUACAUGCAAGUCGAACGAAGCUGUUUUAACUGGUGCUUGCACCGACUUAAACAACUGAGUGGCGAACGGGUGAGUAACACGUGGGUAACCUGCCCCAAAGCGGGGGAUAACAUUUGGAAACAGAUGCUAAUACCGCAUAACCACAGAAACCACAUGGUUUCUGUGUCAAAGAUGGUUUCGGCUAUCACUUUGGGAUGGUCACGCGGCGGAUUAGCUAGUUGGUAAGGUAAUGGCUUACCAAGGCAAUGAUACGUAGCCGAACUGAGAGGAUGAUCGGCCACAUUGGGACUGAGACACGGCCCAAACUCCUACGGGAGGCAGCAGUAGGGAAUCUUCCACAAUGGACGAAAGUCUGAUGGAGCAACGCCGCGUGAGUGAAGAAGGUUUUCGGAUCGUAAAACUCUGUUGUCAGAGAAGAACGUGUGCGAGAGUAACUGUUCGUGCAGUGACGGUAUCUGGCCAGAAAGCCACGGCUAACUACGUGCCAGCCGCCGCCGUAA
rnacentral:rRNA from 1 species